rfam:Oryza sativa Japonica Group DNA, chromosome 1, cultivar: Nipponbare, complete sequence.
AAAAAAGGCAAACACUGGUUUCCGUGUCCAACGUUUGACCGUCCGUCUUAUUCGAAAAAAUUAUGAAAAAAAUUAAAAAGACAAGUCACGCAUAAAAUAUUAAUCAUGUUUUAUCAUCUAACAACAAUGAAAAUACGAAUUAUAAAAAAAUUUCAUAUAAGACGGACAGUCAAAGUUGGACACGGAAACCCAGGGUUUGCCUUUUU